GUGCUAGCUUCGGUAGCACAUAUACUAAAAUUGGAAUGAUACAGAGAGUAGCAUGGCCCCUGCUGAAGGAUGACAUGAAAAUUCAUGAAGCAUCCCAUGUUUUA